rnacentral:rRNA from 1 species
UACGAAGGGGGCUAGCGUUGUUCGGAAUCACUGGGCGUAAAGCGCACGCAGGCGGAUCGAUAAGUCGGGGGUGAAAGCCCGGGGCUCAACCUCGGAAUUGCCUUCGAUACGGUCGGUCUCGAGUCAGGGAGAGGUGAGUGGAAUUCCUAGUGUAGAGGUGAAAUUCGUAGAUAUUAGGAAGAACACCAGUGGCGAAGGCGGCUCACUGGCCCGGUACUGACGCUCAGGUGCUAAAGCGUUGGGAGCAAACAGG